rnacentral:rRNA from 1 species
GUAGGUGGCAAGCGUUGUCCGGAAUUAUUGGGCGUAAAGCGCGCGCAGGCGGUUCUUUAAGUCUGAUGUGAAAGCCCACGGCUCAACCGUGGAGGGUCAUUGGAAACUGGAGAACUUGAGUACAGAAGAGGAAAGCGGAAUUCCACGUGUAGCGGUGAAAUGCGUAGAGAUGUGGAGGAACACCAGUGGCGAAGGCGGCUUUCUGGUCUGUAACUGACGCUGAGGCGCGGAAGCGUGGGGAGCAAACAGGGAUUAGAUACCCUGGUAGUCCACGCCGUAAACGAUGAGUGCUAAGUGUUAGGGGGUUUCCGCCCCCUUAGUGCUGCAGCUAACGCAUUAAGCACUCCGCCUGGGGAUACGGCCGCAAGGCUG